GAGAAAAUCCAGGCAAAUGGACAAGAUCAUGAACUUGGACAUUAAAGCUGGAAGGUGCCUGAGAAGUUACCUUGUCUAGCAUCCUUGUUUCAUGGAUGAUGGCAUUUGGACAUAGGGAUGAUAAAUGAAGGGCAGAUUCAUUCAUCUGUUCCAUGCACCUACAGAUACUAGUUGUAGGGGCACCAUUAGUGAUAUGGUGAUGCAUGAAUAUGGCGGCAUUCUUCUCUUCAAACAGCUUUCAUCAUAGUACAAAACACAAGUGUGUAAACUACCAACUAAACAAGAGACAAAAGGAGUAAGUGAAGUCAGUAAAGUGCCAUGGGACAACAGG
rnacentral:lncRNA from 1 species